AGUGAACGCUGGCGGUAGGCCUAACACAUGCAAGUCGAACGGCAGCACAGUAAGAGCUUGCUCUUACGGGUGGCGAGUGGCGGACGGGUGAGGAAUACAUCGGAAUCUACUUUUUCGUGGGGGAUAACGUAGGGAAACUUACGCUAAUACCGCAUACGACCUACGGGUGGAAGCAGGGGAUCUUCGGACCUUGCGCGAUUGAAUGAGCCGAUGUCGGAUUAGCUAGUUGGCGGGGUAAAGGCCCACCAAGGCGACGAUCCGUAGCUGGUCUGAGAGGAUGAUCAGCCGCACUGGACCUGAGACACGGUCCAGACUCCUACGGGCGGCAGCAGUGGGGAAUAUUGGACAAUGGGCGCAAGCCUGAUCCAGCCAUACCGCGUGGGUGAAGAAGGCCUUCGGGUUGUAAAGCCCUUUUGUUGGGAAAGAAAAGCAGCAGGUUAAUACCCCGCUGUUCUGACGGUACCCAAAGAAUAAGCACCGGCUAACUUCGUG
rnacentral:rRNA from 1 species